CCUACGGGCGGCAGCAGUGGGGAAUAUUGCGCAAUGGAGGCAACUCUGAUCCAGCAAUGCCGCGUGAAUGAAGAAGGUCUUCGGAUUGUACAGUUCUGUAAUCAGGGACGAAGAUGAUGAUGGUACAUUAGGAAUACGCCACUGCGAACUAGGUGCCAGCAGCCGCGGUAAUACGUGGGCGGCAAGUGUUGUCCGGAAGGACUGUGCGAAAAGGGAGCGUAGGCGGUCUGGUAAGUCUGAAGUGAAAUCCCGGGGCUCAACCCCAGAACUGCUUUCAAGAUUGACCGACUUGAGUGUAGGAGAGGUAAGCGGAAUUCCUAGUGUAGCGGUGGAAUGCGUAGAUAUUAGGAGGAACACCAGUGGCGAAGGCGGCUUACUGGAUUAUAACUGACGCUGAGGCUCGAAAGCGUGGGUAGCAAACAGGAUUAGAUACCCUAGUAGUC
rnacentral:rRNA from 1 species